UCUUCCAGUUAUAUUCAGGUCCCUGUUACAGUCAGCAGAGAUUGCUUUAUCUCUGUUUCUUUCCUUUUGUUCCAGCUUUCAACUACAUUUUGUGCAUAUUCAUAUUCACAGUUUCCUUUAUAUGUUUUCUCUGUUUUGUUUGUGUGGAAACCUUCCUGAAACAGCAGCUGAUGGUGCUCCUUCAACUGAAGAAUUCUGAGGGCAAAAUGCAGCUGAAAUGAUACAGGCACACAUCUGGAUGAUUUAUUUAAACCACAAGGUCUUGCUCAGACCAUCCUCUACUGUUCUUCUACAUACUUAUAAAAACUUUGGAUUUCUGCUUCUUAGCAUAUGAUGUCUGAUUACUUCAGAAUUUCUUGGAACUCUCCCAAGGAAUCACCUGGGAGGUCAUUCAGCAGAUGGUAUCCAUUUUCCCUUCAAACCAAAAUGAAGUCAUGAUGGUUUCCACCUGAACCUGAUAAAGAAGAAAUCUUUGGGAUGCAAUGGUAAUGAGAACCUGCAGCAGCCUUAGCAUAAGACCAAUAAAAACUGUAAUUAAUUUGAAAACUACUUAGUCUCCCACUGCUUACACCCCACUGUUAUUCCACAGGCAUUAACAUAUCCUGUUUAUCAGAGUUACUGUCUUACAUUUAAUGUUGAAGUUUGCUGGCUUUAUUUCAGACCUGAAAGUGGAUCAGGUGUCAGCACACUGCACUGAUAAACUUCCCACAAGAACAGGGUAUGAUAAACACUGUCUCCAAGAGGCCACCUUUCCAACAGUACCUGCCUCACCAGAGAGACACGCAAACGCCUUAUACUGAAAGGCACAAGUAAGUUUGGAUCGGGCUGCAGGAAACAUGACCACUUCACUACCCAGAUCUAGAAUUCAGCCUUUUUAUCUACCAGAUUUAACUAAAAUCGGCCCAAUUCCAGGACAUCCUUGAAUCUUGGUCUUAAACAGAAGGACUGGGCUUUGGGUUAAAUCUUUCACGUGCUACCAUUCAAACUAUCUUUAUAUUGCUAUUCUCACCCUCCAGCUGUUUCUUUAAUACAUUACUUUGAUACAUUAGAUGCAACAAACUCUGCUUAUGCUAAUCCAUAUAAACUUAAUUCAAAAUGGAUUUUAAAUGUGCUGAAAGGCACUUUACAAUAAAGACAAGAUCUUCAGAAAAUCCCAAGAACUAACUUUGAAAUCUAUCAAAUGAGUAUUUGCUUCUACUGUUUUUAGAAGGCUGACCUCUGAAAUACACCUUCCCUUUAAAGCCAGCGUCCUGGUGCUAUUUUAGUUCUUUGCUCUUUUCUUUUCCCCCUCCCCUGUCUAUAAACAUUAGAGGGACAGACUUCAGCAAGCCUGUCUUUUAUCUGGCAAGUGCUAUCCAUGGGACAAUUCAAAAGACAUGGACAAUUGAAUUAACAAGUAUUGUUACACUCCAUUGCAUGGUAGAUCCAGCAGGAAUUAUAAAGAAUGGCUUAGAAAGUGAAGCUGGACAUCCACCUGCUACAUCCAGAACAAUAACUUCAUAUUUGCCUGUAGCUGGUUUUGCUUAAAAAGUCUCUCUUCUGGGUAGUUUUCUGUUGGUUUAGCCUCAAGCCCAGCUUGAUCAGCAGCUAAACAUGAGCAGCAGUGCUCCCAAUCUCCCACUGCCCGGCUCCUCCUUCAGGGAAGGGGGAUGAGAGAAAGAGAUGUGUGAGUUGGAAACUAAAACAAAACCAGCUUUAAUGAAACAAUAAUAAUAAAGUAUAUGCAAAUAUACAAAAUCAAACCCCUCUCAAUGACUAUAUGCCACCACUGAUGCUGCAAAGCAAACAUAGGGAAAGAGGUUCCAGGCUGGACUUAGUGGCACACAGGAGCUGGAGUUAGGAACUGAAUUGAGGAACGUACAGAUCCAGGAUCAGGGGUAGAAGGACAAAUGAGGCCUGUAUUAGAUGCCCGCCAUCAAAGAAGAGAGCUUAACCCUUAUGAUCCCUCAGUUUUAUACUGAAUAUGACAUACAUGGAAUGGAAUACUGCGCUGGUCAGUUUUGGGUCAUCUGUCCUGUCUGCUCCUCCCUGCAGGUGUGAUGCUUUUUUGCCCCUUUGACAUAUGGCACCCCACUUGAGGAUGGCCUUCAUCUCCAUAGGGACAGAUGUAAGCAAUGGCCUUUCUGUCCAACGCCCUAUUACUUUAGUGAUAAUCAUAAAUUUUAAGUGCUAGCACUACUAGAGAUACACACUGUCUGCAAACAUGUAGUUAACUUUCAGAAAAUGAAGUUACUUAGACAAGGCUUAGCUGGAAAGUUAGAAAAUUCAUUCUGCUCUAGCUGAAACCAGAUCAUUUCCCAGCAGGGAUUUAACUUUCUAGGAUUAAUCCAAGAGCUUUACACCACUUUGAUUUUGUUCAGAAAGUUUGUCAAAGAAUACAUUCAGCGUCUGUCUUUCUAAGAGCAAAGAUGAAUGCACCAUUAUUUCCUCAGUAGAUGUUUGUAAGCACUUGUUAGCUUUACUGAAGUGAACAUUUCCAAUGUCUUUGUGCUUUUGGAGGAGCUAAUUUCCGACCUAACUGUGAGUUGCUCUAGCCACUGCACUUAAAUGGUUUACUUUCCUGUCCUAAUUUCUCAACUACAAUGCCCCACUUCACUAAAAAUUAAAUAAAUAAAGAUGUAUGGGUUUGUACAUUUUUUUUUCUUCUCUGCAGAGAACAAUCUCUGAUCCAAACAACACAGGCAAGUUUAUUCUGUAUGCCAGAAUGUUUUUCCCUUGUGUCUGGGUCGUAAUGAUCACCAACAUGAACCACCACAACACCCUGUGUGUCUACCAGUAAGACAGCAAAGACCCAUGUGACAGCUAUGCCUACCCAGGAUAUUCCUCACUGCCUGGUGCCAGAAAGGGCUUUUUUAAGGCUGGUGCUGGAAUGGCAUGAACAAAAUAACACUGCCAGGAACCUGAUUUUAUUCCAGGAAGCGGAGAAAUUCAUGACUGCACGCAAACACCAUGACACAGCCAAUUCAUUACUAAAUGAGUCACUAAAUAUCUGGGGUUUGUCCACAGGAUACUUGCACUGAAUUCAGCUUUCAAAACAACAACAACAAAAUAUCUCUGUUGUUACUGCAGAUAACAUUUUAAGUGUAUCUUUUAUUGACUAGGUUUUCUAUCUGCUGCAUUACUGAUAACUAAGGUGGCCAAUUGACAUGGUUGAAUAACUGAGGUGGUUCAGAUGAUCAAGAAAACACAGAUUUCCCUUUUCAGUUACACAAGAAAUGACUGGACAUUGGCACCUCUACUUUCCAUCAUAAACAGCAUUUUAAUGCACAGAAUUUGUGGAUCCUAACACAGAUCCUACAGCCAUCAUUUAACUUUUGACACACUUGCUGGUCCAAGCACAGGAACACGCUUUAAUGGUCACCUGCCAAGGUAGGAUAAACCCUUUAUUUACUCCAGGUUAAGAUAGCUGAAGCCCUGUCCCCUCAUGCAUAUACAAUGUUCAACUUAACACCAACAUCUAAAAAUGUCAACAGUAUACAAUAAAUACUUUGAAAACAAUUUAGACAGACAGCAGAUCCUUGAAUUGUUUUUUAGGGCUGAUGCAGUAAGCGUAAAACUACCCUAUGAUACCUUUUCAGAUAUAUAAAAGGAAGAUGAGAAAUUUUCUUAGGUGCUGCCUUAUCAUAGCAACAAGUAGGAAAUGACUGGUUUUAACACUGUUAUUUACAAUUUUCCUAUAGUUUCUCAAAGGAAGGAAAAAGAUUGAUGCUAGACCUCAAAAAAAUAAAUAACAAAACAAACAGAAAUAACAAGACAAACAUAGCCACCUAAAAGAACUGCGCAAGGUGCAUUCCCUGUUUCUUUACAAUCCUAACAGAAUUAGCACUGGUUUUGACAUGCCUGAUUGUCUGGCAAUGGAGUUCAUAGAAUUUAGACUUAUUGUGCUCAUUUUUCCUAUUAUCACAAGUAUUUUGCUUAUAUAUUCAAGCAGAGAUAAUAAAAGUCUAAUAAUUACUAGUACAGAGAUUGCAUGUAACAUUCCUACUCCUGGAAACACGUGGUUUUAACACUCCCUGAUUCUGAUGUGCAUGAGCAACUUUAUACAAACAACAGGGAAAGAAAAAUGACUUUACAAGACAAAGAGUGAAAUGAAAUACAUGAAGUGCUGUCAAUGGCUCAUUGUAAACCUGGGAAAAAUAAAGCGAUAAAAAUCAAUUUCUGCAAACAAUGUUUCACUUACACUGUUUUAAACAUUCUAUAACAGUAGAGGGUAGGGAAAAAAGGUCAUGCUGUUUUAAUUUUGAGACUAUUGCAUAUUCUUUAAGAAAACCUUGUAGAUACUUGAGACUUCAUAUUUCAAAUUUGUGCCUCAGAAGUGACACAGACUUUCAGAUUUCAGGCACAUAAUAAAUAACAUAAACCAGCAGCAGUAAUGUGGGAUCACAGCCUAUGGAAACAGAAGAUACAUGCUUACAAGCUGAGUUUGCAUUCAGAGUUUUUAAGCAGAAGGCCCUGUGCAGAAAACCUCCUAAAAAUGAGCCAGCUGAUAUGAGGUCACGAGGAAAUGAAGAGUAAACUACACAAAGUCCAUUUGAAGCUCUUCUGACUAUUAAGAAGUGGGCUGGCAUCGAGCCCCAGUAACUGCGUUUUCACUCCCCUCUCUCCUUGUAGCAUUUCCUUCAUUGUUUUGUACUGUCUGUAAGUGCACGUCAGCAGCAUUACAAGAGCCCAGUGUGCUCACCCCCGCCUUGCAGCUUCCCAUGAAAAAAUUACUAAUGCACACAGUUCAUCACUCCUCCUUUUGCCAGCAGUGCCAUUGAAAGACACCAGAGAAGGGCAGAAGAACAAAAACUGUGCAAGGAAGCGGAGAAUAAGCACCAGAAAAAGUGAGGGAAGAAAAGGAAAAGACAUAUUCUGCCGUCGGUUAUGUCUGGCAGCUCUGGAUUCAUGAAACAGAUGGGAGUGCAGAAUUGUCCUCUACAGAGACAAAGGGUGAGAAGAUAAUUAGGAUCCUCACUUGGACCAGCUACCUAAAUAAUCUUUUAAAAAAGAUAAAAAUCAAAUAAACACUAUCUGUACUUUCCCCACAGAGAAGGAGAUUUCCCUCCAACCGCAAGAGAGGUUUUUUAUAACCAACCAUUUGUAAUUACCCAUUUAGAAGAAUUAAGCCAAUUUAGUUCCAGACAGAAUACAAUCUAUGUACUGCAGUCUGAUCAGGAACAGAAGCACAGCCCUGACCACUCCAAGAAACUACAGCAGUCAGCACAGGACAAUGCUGUUACAGCAAAAGUAUUAUCUAAAGCUAAACCAUAAUACACCAAGUUUGCACUAAAACUAAAACACUUGAAUGGAACUGGGGGGAGGAAAGAAGAACUAGACCUGAGCUAUGUUUAUUUGUCAUAGUUUUAUUUACUUAAUUGAAGCCUCUGAUUAAGUAUACCAGCUGAACCAUGCCCCUGAGUUUAUAGUAGAUACAAACCAACUGCAUUAGUCAUGGUUACAUGCCUACCUGAUCUGAAAAACCAAACUGUAAUAGGUACUUCUCACCCACAAAGGG